GAACAGAUUAGGCAAUGGGAAAAACUUAACAAUACACUGCCAGUCCAAAGAUGAUGAUCUUGCCCAGCAGAACAUUCCAGACGGAAGCGAAUUUGGCUGGGACUUUUCGGUCAAUGUAGGGGGAACCACACUAUUUUACUGUGACAUGGAAUGGCAGAACGUACAGCAGUGUCAUUUUGAUGCCUAUUCUUUUGCAAGGGACUACCCCAAAUGUGAG
rnacentral:misc_RNA from 1 species